rnacentral:rRNA from 1 species
UACGUAGGGUGCAAGCGUUAAUCGGAAUUACUGGGCGUAAAGCGUGCGCAGGCAGUUUUGUAAGUCUGUCGUGAAAGCCCCGGGCUCAACCUGGGAAUUGCGAUGGAGACUGCAAGGCUUGAAUCUGGCAGAGGGGGGUAGAAUUCCACGUGUAGCAGUGAAAUGCGUAGAGAUGUGGAGGAACACCGAUGGCGAAGGCAGCCCCCUGGGUCAAGAUUGACGCUCAUGCACGAAAGCGUGGGGAGCAAACAGG